AGUGCUGCGUUGCAGAACGCCAACUCCAAGUGCAAUGGGCUGCUUCCUGUCUGGGGGCCUCAUGUCCCAGCCUUCGCCACAUGCCUGGCCAGAAAAACACAUCUGCAGGAGAGCCCACCUACCAGCUAAACAUCCACGACAACAAGCUCUUGUUCCUGCGUUUCGCCACGGAGCAGUCCUUCAGCGUGGAUACGGGAGGAGGAGGACGAGAGAGCAACAUCCACUUCAUCCCUUACAUCAUCCACACCGUGCUCUACGUACUCAACACGUCUCUCUAAUUCUCUUUCUUUCUCUUUCUCGGAGGACCUGAGCCCUAGGACCAUGCCCCAGGACUACCUGACAUGAUGACUCCUUGCUGUCCCCAGUCCACCUGGCCGUGCUGCUGCUCCAGUUUCAACUGUUCUGCCUUAUUAUUAUUCGACCAUGCUGGUCAUUUAUGAACAUUUGAACAUCUUGGCCAUGUUCUGUUAUAAUCUCUACCCGGCACAGCCAGAAGAGGACUGGCCACCCCACAUAGCCUGGUUCCUCUCUAGGUUUCUUCCUAGGUUUUGGCCUUUCUAGGGAGUUUUUCCUAGCCACCGUGCUUCUACACCUGCAUUGCUUGCUGUUUGGGGUUUUAGGCUGGGUUUCUGUACAGCACUUUGAGAUAUCAGCUGAUGUACGAACGGCUUUAUAAAUACAUUUGAUUUGAUGUGAU